UGCUAGGUGUGACGACGCAAUAUUAUGG
rnacentral:sRNA from 1 species